rnacentral:rRNA from 1 species
AGGACGAACGCUGGCGGCGUGCCUAAUACAUGCAAGUCGAGCGGACAGAUGGGAGCUUGCUCCCUGAUGUUAGCGGCGGACGGGUGAGUAACACGUGGGUAACCUGCCUGUAAGACUGGGAUAACUCCGGGAAACCGGGGCUAAUACCGGAUGCUUGUUUGAACCGCAUGGUUCAAACAUAAAAGGUGGCUUCGGCUACCACUUACAGAUGGACCCGCGGCGCAUUAGCUAGUUGGUGAGGUAACGGCUCACCAAGGCAACGAUGCGUAGCCGACCUGAGAGGGUGAUCGGCCACACUGGGACUGAGACACGGCCCAGACUCCUACGGGAGGCAGCAGUAGGGAAUCUUCCGCAAUGGACGAAAGUCUGACGGAGCAACGCCGCGUGAGUGAUGAAGGUUUUCGGAUCGUAAAGCUCUGUUGUUAGGGAAGAACAAGUACCGUUCGAAUAGGGCGGUACCUUGACGGUACCUAACCAGAAAGCCACGGCUAACUACGUGCCAGCAGCCGCGGUAAUACGUAGGUGGCAAGCGUUGUCCGGAAUUAUUGGGCGUAAAGGGCUCGCAGGCGGUUUCUUAAGUCUGAUGUGAAAGCCCCCGGCUCAACCGGGGAGGGUCAUUGGAAACUGGGGAACUUGAGUGCAGAAGAGGAGAGUGGAAUUCCACGUGUAGCGGUGAAAUGCGUAGAGAUGUGGAGGAACACCAGUGGCGAAGGCGACUCUCUGGUCUGUAACUGACGCUGAGGAGCGAAAGCGUGGGGAGCGAACAGGAUUAGAUACCCUGGUAGUCCACGCCGUAAACGAUGAGUGCUAAGUGUUAGGGGGUUUCCGCCCCUUAGUGCUGCAGCUAACGCAUUAAGCACUCCGCCUGGGGAGUACGGUCGCAAGACUGAAACUCAAAGGAAUUGACGGGGGCCCGCACAAGCGGUGGAGCAUGUGGUUUAAUUCGAAGCAACGCGAAGAACCUUACCAGGUCUUGACAUCCUCUGACAAUCCUAGAGAUAGGACGUCCCCUUCGGGGGCAGAGUGACAGGUGGUGCAUGGUUGUCGUCAGCUCGUGUCGUGAGAUGUUGGGUUAAGUCCCGCAACGAGCGCAACCCUUGAUCUUAGUUGCCAGCAUUCAGUUGGGCACUCUAAGGUGACUGCCGGUGACAAACCGGAGGAAGGUGGGGAUGACGUCAAAUCAUCAUGCCCCUUAUGACCUGGGCUACACACGUGCUACAAUGGACAGAACAAAGGGCAGCGAAACCGCGAGGUUAAGCCAAUCCCACAAAUCUGUUCUCAGUUCGGAUCGCAGUCUGCAACUCGACUGCGUGAAGCUGGAAUCGCUAGUAAUCGCGGAUCACAUGCGCGGGGGGAAAACGUUCCCGGGCCUUGUACACACCGCCCGUCACACCACGAGAGUUUGUAACACCCGAAGUCGGUGAGGUAACCUUUUAGGAGCCAGCCGCCGAAGGUGGGACAGAUGAUUGG